UACAGAGGUCCCAAGCGUUGUUCGGAUUCAUUGGGCGUAAAGGGUACGUAGGCGGCGCGGUAAGUCGGGUGUGAAAUCUCGGAGCUUAACUCCGAAACUGCAUUCGAUACUGCCGUGCUUGAGGACUGGAGAGGAGACUGGAAUUUACGGUGUAGCGGUGAAAUGCGUAGAUAUCGUAAGGAAGACCAGUGGCGAAGGCGGGUCUCUGGACAGUUCCUGACGCUGAGGCACGAAGGUCAGGGGAGCAAACGGG
rnacentral:rRNA from 1 species